UGGCGGACGGGUGAGUAACGCGUGGGUAACCUGCCUCAUACAGGGGGAUAACAGUUAGAAAUGACUGCUAAUACCGCAUAAGACCACAGUGCCGCAUGGCACAGGGGCCAAAGCCUUGACGGUAUGAGAUGGACCCGCGUCUGAUUAGGUAGUUGGUGGGGUAACGGCCUACCAAGCCGACGAUCAGUAGCCGACCUGAGAGGGUGACCGGCCACAUUGGGACUGAGACACGGCCCAAACUCCUACGGGAGGCAGCAG
rnacentral:rRNA from 1 species